rfam:Pan troglodytes isolate Yerkes chimp pedigree #C0471 (Clint) chromosome Y, whole genome shotgun sequence.
GGGGGAGUAUGGUUGCAAAGCUGAAACAAAGGACUUGAUGGAAGGGCACCACCAGAGUGGAGGCUGCAGCUUAAUUUGACUCAACAUGGGAAACCUCGCCUGGACACGGACAGGAUUGACAGAUAGCUCUUUCUCGAUUCUGUGGGUGGUGGUUCAUGGCUGUUCUUAGUUGGAGCGAUUUGUCUGGUUAAUUCCGAAAACGAAUGAGACUCUGGCAUGCUAAUUAGUUACAUGACCCCUAAGCGGUCGGUGUCCCCCAACUUCUCAGAGGGACAAGUGGCAUUCAGCCCCCCGAGACUGAGCAAUAACAGGUCUGUGAUGCCCUUAGAUGUCCGGGUCUGCACGUGUGCUACACUGACUGGCUCAGUGUGUGCCUACCCUAUGCUGGCAGGUACGGGUAACCCAUUGAACCCCAUUCAUGAUGGGGAUUGGGGAUUGCAAUUAUUCCCCAUGAAGGAGGAAUUCCCAGGAAGUGCCGGUCAUAAGCUUGCAUUGAUUAAGUCCCUGCCCUUUGCACACACCACCCAUCGCUACUACCAAUUGGAUGGUUUAGUGAGUACCUUGGAUUGGCCCCGCCGGGGUCAGCCCAUGGCCCUGGCAGAGCACUGAGAAGACGGUCGAACUUUAUCUAGAAGGAAGUAAAAGUCAUAACAAGGUUUCUGUAGGUGAACCUGCAGAAG